rnacentral:rRNA from 1 species
ACGUAUGGGGCUAGCGUUGUUCGGAAUUAUUGGGCGUAAAGGGCGUCUAGGCGGGGGAUUAAGUUAGGUGUGAAAUCCCUGGGCUCAACCCAGGAACUGCAUCUAAAACUGGUUCUCUUGAGUUCGGGAGAGGAGAGCGGAAUUCCCGGUGUAGGGGUGAAAUGCGGAGAUAUCGGGGAGACCACCAGUGGCGAAGGCGGCUCUCUGGCCUAGAACUGACGCUGAGGCACGAAAGCUUGGGGAGCGAGCGG